GUGCUUGCUUCAGCAGUACAUAUAUUAAAAUUGGAAUGUUAUAGAAAAGAUUAGCCUGGCACCUGCACAAAGAUAACAUGCAAAUUUGUGAAGCGUCCAUAUUUUUC
ensembl:snRNA U6 U6 spliceosomal RNA